GCCAGUGUGGUCUAAUGGUUUGAGUGUUGGACCAUUACUCUGGAGACCAGGGUUAAAAUCCCUGCUUGGCCA